rnacentral:lncRNA from 1 species
CUUGUUUUCUGUUGAUGUCUAUCCUGUAGAGGUAGCCAAAUCGGAUCAAUAAAAAAAGCAUAAUAAUCAAGAUGUCUUGAAUCUUAGACUGAAAAUUCAGUCAUAAGAAGCACCUGUUAAGACAUGUUGGUAGUGUAUGUUCUGAACAUAAAUAAGCUUGUGCUGCUGCCCAUUGCAGGACGAGGACGACGACGAGUGAAGAAGACGCAUCUUGUCAAGGCUGCUGGCUCCGGCGGACAAAGGCGGGAGCGGCUGCUGCGCGAGAACCGACGUGAGCUGUGUGCGGUGGUGUCAUAAGGAGCCUGUCCAUCUCCACUAGAGUUAUCCCAAGUUUCACUUCACAUCGUGAUGUUGUUUUACCUUUUUUUUCUUGUCGUCGUCCCGCUGCCUGCUAUAACGGACAGCGCUCCCUGUUGGCGCCGACGCCGGCGGGGGUGGUGCCCUGGCGGCGGAGGGUGUAUGUCCUCUGCCGCCGGGUGCUCCCCUGCUUGUACCUAGAUGGUUGGUUACUCUUUCCGUCCAUUGUCACCGGCUAACAUUGUGAUAAUAUCAGUCUGGGUAAUGUUAGAUUAAGCUGUUGUUUGUGUCCCAUGGCAUGCAUUCGCGCGUAUGAUUUGCUCCUCAUUAUGCUUGCUUGGUUGGUUC